GUAGCACAGGGGAGCUUGCUCCCCGGGUGACGAGUGGCGGACGGGUGAGUAAUGCCUGGGAAACUGCCCGAUGGAGGGGGAUAACUACUGGAAACGGUAGCUAAUACCGCAUAACGUCUUCGGACCAAAGUGGGGGACCUUCGGGCCUCACACCAUCGGAUGUGCCCAGGUGGGAUUAGCUAGUAGGUGGGGUAAUGGCUCACCUAGGCAACGAUCCCUAGCUGGUCUGAGAGGAUGACCAGCCACACUGGAACUGAGACACGGUCCAGACUCCUACGGGAG
rnacentral:rRNA from 1 species